rnacentral:lncRNA from 1 species
GUUAGAUGCCAAAAUGAGAGUAUACCACUAAAGGUGAAUAUAUGAAAUAAUAAUAUAAAGUAGGCUGAAUGGAGAUAUGAUAAGGAGCAUGAUUAUCAGACCAACAGCUAAUAUCGAAGUUAUUAGCCUAAUAGAUAGGAUAGGAUCUAUCGGUUUGAUUAUGGUACCAUUCUGGACAUGGAGUAAUGGGACAUAGGCACCAGUUGUUAUUAUCGCUAGAAGUGGAAGCAAACAUGGGC